rnacentral:lncRNA from 1 species
GGCGCAAGGUUGGUCUGCAGGUGGCCUCCAGGUGCAAAGUGGGAAGUGUGAGUCCUCAGUCUUGGGCUAUUCGGCCACGUGCCUGCCGGACAUGGGACGCUGGAGGGUCAGCAGCGUGGAGUCCUGGCCUUUUGCGUCCACGGGUGGGAAAUUGGCCAUUGCCACGGCGGGAACUGGGACUCAGGCUGCCCCCCGGCCGUUUCUCAUCCGUCCACCGGACUCGUGGGCGCUCGCACUGGCGCUGAUGUAGUUUCCUGACCUCUGACCCGUAUUGUCUCCAGAUUAAAGGUACGACAUUUGGAGGCCCCAGCGAGAAACGUCACCGGGAGAAACGUCACCGGGCGAGAGCCGGGCCCGCUGUGUGCUCCCCCGGAAGGACAGCCAGCUUGUAGGGGGGAGUGCCACCUGAAAAAAAAAUUUCCAGGUCCCCAAAGGGUGACCGUCUUCCGGAGGACAGCGGAUCGACUACCAUGUGGGUGCCCACAAAAAUUCCACCUCUGAGUCCUCAACUGCUGACCCCGGGGUCAGUAGACACGGGGUUUCACCAUGUUGGCCAGGCCGGUCUUGAACUUGUGACGUCAGGUGAUGCACCCGCCUUGGCCUCCCAAAGUGCUGGGAUUACAGGUCCAGAUUUUGAACAAAUCUCGCUAGAGAUUGAACAGAGCUGCGCCUGGAUCCCGCCACAGUGAGGAGACCUGAAGACCAGAGAAAACACAGCAAGCCCCUGGAUCCUCCUGGAAUCCCCGAUCCCUCUUGCUCCCUGGCAGAGUUUUCUAGUCCCUCUUACUUGAAGCAUGUCUUUCAGAGCCCGGCACCACCCAUCUUGAGUAUCUGCUACACCUCUAUGGUAUUUUUUUCACCUCAUAUCAUACCUUCCUCCCUCACUGGACUUCAGUGUGGGACCUGCAGGUCUCAGGCCUUCUGGGAAGUCCCAGCUUUUCUUGAAUGUUUUCUCUCUCUGGCCAGCUCAGGCUGGAGCAGUGGGUGUUGGUGCCAUCCUGUGGCUAUAGGUGAUAAGCCGGCUGUUCUUCACUGACCUGGUCUUACCUUGAACCCUGGAGUUCUCACAUGCAUGGAUUUAAAUGCUGUGUCUUUCUAAGGGCACAUUAUGGCCAUUUUCCUUAUCUCCCUCCCAAGGGGCUGUUUGCUGUGUUUAUUGACUCCCUGUUUAAAAAACAUAUAUAUAUAUAUAUAUAUAGACGAAUUAGGUUGUACCCCAUAAAUUGCAUGUUUGAAAAAUAUUUCAAAGAAUAGUUUAUUUUUUUUUGCUGAUUUUUAUGUAUCUUCUAAAUUGUAUAUAUUUAUGGGGUAUAAAAUGAUGUUGUGAUUUUUCAAUACAGUGUGGAAUGAGAAUCAAA